rnacentral:rRNA from 1 species
UACGGGGGGGGGCAAGCGUUGUUCGGAAUUACUGGGCGUAAAGGGCGCGUAGGCGGUUGGAUAAGUCAGCUGUGAAAACCACGGGCUUAACUCGUGGCCUGCAGUUGAGACUGUCUGGCUUGAGUGUGGGAGAGGAGAGUGGAAUUCCUGGUGUAGCGGUGAAAUGCGUAGAUAUCAGGAGGAACACCGGUGGCGAAGGCGGCUCUCUGGGCCGUAACUGACGCUGAGGAGCGAAAGCGUGGGGAGCGAACAGG